CACAAGCGGUGGAGUAUGUGGUUUAAUUCGAUGCAACGCGAAGAACCUUACCUGGUCUUGACAUCCCGGAGACCCUUAGGAAACUAGGGGGUGCUUCCAUCUGGAAGAAUCUGGAGACAGGUGCUGCAUGGCUGUCGUCAGCUCGUGUCGUGAGAUGUUGGGUUAAGUCCCGCAACGAGCGCAACCCUUGCCUUUAGUUGCCAGCAGUUCGGCUGGGCACUCUAAAGGGACUGCCGGUGUUAAACCGGAGGAAGGUGGGGAUGACGUCAAGUCCUCAUGGCCUUUAUGACCAGGGCUACACACGUACUACAAUGGCCGAUACAAAGGGCAGCGACACUGCGAGGUGAAGCCAAUCCCGUAAAAUCGGUCUCAGUCCGGAUUGGAGUCUGCAACUCGACUGCGUGAAGUCGGAAUCGCUAGUAAUCGUGAAAUCAGAAUGUCACGGUGAAUACGUUCCCGGGCCUU
rnacentral:rRNA from 1 species